rnacentral:rRNA from 1 species
GACGAACGCUGGCGGCGUGCCUAAUACAUGCAAGUCGAGCGAAGUUUUUCUGGUGCUUGCACUAGAAAAACUUAGCGGCGAACGGGUGAGUAACACGUAAAGAACCUGCCUCAUAGACGGGGACAACUAUUGGAAACGAUAGCUAAUACCGGAUAACAGCAUAAAUCGCAUGAUAUAUGUUUAAAAGUUGGUUUCGGCUAACACUAUGAGAUGGCUUUGCGGUGCAUUAGCUAGUUGGUGGGGUAAAGGCCUACCAAGGCGACGAUGCAUAGCCGACCUGAGAGGGUGAUCGGCCACACUGGGACUGAGACACGGCCCAGACUCCUACGGGAGGCAGCAGUAGGGAAUCUUCCGCAAUGGGCGAAAGCCUGACGGAGCAACGCCGCGUGAGUGAAGAAGGAUUUCGGUUCGUAAAGCUCUGUUGUUAGGGAAGAGUGAUUGUAUAGUAACUAUAUACAGUAGAGACGGUACCUAACCAGAAAGCCACGGCUAACUACGUGCCAGCAGCCGCGGUAAUACGUAGGUGGCAAGCGUUGUCCGGAAUUAUUGGGCGUAAAGCGCGCGCAGGUGGUUUAAUAAGUCUGAUGUGAAAGCCCACGGCUCAACCGUGGAGGGUCAUUGGAAACUGUUAAACUUGAGUGCAGGAGAGAAAAGUGGAAUUCCUAGUGUAGCGGUGAAAUGCGUAGAGAUUAGGAGGAACACCAGUGGCGAAGGCGGCUUUUUGGCCUGUAACUGACACUGAGGCGCGAAAGCGUGGGGAGCAAACAGG